UACGAGGGGGGCGAGCGUUGUUCGGAAUUAUUGGGCGUAAAGGGCGCGUAGGCGGUUUGGUAAGUCUGAUGUGAAAUCUAUGGGCUCAACUCAUAGUCUGCAUCGGAAACUGCCGGGCUUGAGUAUGGGAGAGGUGAGUGGAAUUCCUGGUGUAGCGGUGAAAUGCGUAGAUAUCAGGAGGAACACCUGUGGCGAAAGCGGCUCACUGGACCAUAACUGACGCUGAUGCACGAAAGCUAGGGGAGCAAACAGG
rnacentral:rRNA from 1 species